AACUGCAUUUAUGUGUAAAUACUGUUGUUUUUUUUUUUUUUAAUCCGAUAGGUGACUUUCUGUGUGAAGGAACUAUUAAGAACUCAUCGUGCAUGCCAUGCACACUUCUCGGUACAAGAUUAGAUAGAACAACCCAGUAAAACACAAUGUUAAACAUCGUUGCACACAUCAUUAAUCAGAGAAAGUCAACAUGACCACAGUCUGCAAAUGUUCUCCUUGCCAUUUCAAGUAAUCUCUCUGGUCUGACUCACGCAGUCUGACCACCUGUAUGGUCUUGCCCAGGAAGUGAUUGCUGCGGUGCAAGUUACUCACUCAUAAAAUUCAGGGAAUGGAUUAUUUGUAUGUUGCAUAUGAACUAGUUCCCUGAAUGCAGGCAUGUUCAAAGUUUGACCCACAGCACAGUUUUUACUGGCCUUUGGAAUAUUCUAAAAGUGAUAUUUAAUAUUGCCUGCCACACCAUCUCCCUUCUCUCCGCUAAGAUCACCAGUCAAGAAAAUGUGUGCUUGACGAUCAAAAAUCUAAUCGUAUAUUACUCCUAUGAUCAGUAAAAUGGACAUGCUUAACCCUUUCAUGCAACCUGUAACCUGAUAACAUGAUAAGCUGGCCACUGUAGUAACCGCUGUCCCUCAAAGGGUUACAUUUGGGAAAGGACAAAUCAAUCCGGUUAGGUCUAAUUCGUCCUGACCAAGCACUGUCAUCUAAAAAUAAUUUUGGUAUUGUAGUUGUAGUUUUUAGGGAUCUCUUUUGGUGGUCUUUUGCAUCCCAUAAAAGUAAGCAAAGUAACUGUGAAAGUACCAAUUUGAUUAUGUCUGUCAGAUAUUGUACUCAUGUCAAAAAUGGGCACGAGUGAGGUCAAGUUGUGUGGAACAAUCCCGGGGUGGAAAAAGGUCAUUGUGACCGAGCAGGAGCUAUGCAGCAUUAAUAGAGAGCAAGUGAUAUCUUGACAUCUAAAUUGCAGCACACACAAA